rnacentral:rRNA from 1 species
CAGGACGAACGCUGGCGGCGUGCCUAACACAUGCAAGUCGAGCGAGGAGAUUCCUUCGGGAUGAUCCUAGCGGCGGACGGGUGAGUAACACGUGGGCAACCUGCCUCAUAGAGAGGAAUAGCCUUCCGAAAGGGAGAUUAAUACCUCAUAACAUUGCAGUUUCGCAUGGAACAGCAAUUAAAGGAGUAAUCCGCUAUGAGAUGGGCCCGCGGCGCAUUAGCUAGUUGGUGAGGUAAUGGCUCACCAAGGCGACGAUGCGUAGCCGACCUGAGAGGGUGAUCGGCCACAUUGGGACUGAGACACGGCCCAGACUCCUACGGGAGGCAGCAGUGGGGAAUAUUGCACAAUGGGGGAAACCCUGAUGCCAGCAACGCCGCGUGAGUGAUGACGGCCUUCGGGUUGUAAAGCUCUGUCUUCAGGGACGAUAAUGACGGUACCUGAGGAGGAAGCCACGGCUAACUACGUGCCAGCCGCGGC